rnacentral:antisense_RNA from 1 species
CUUCACCGAGCCCAGCAGCAGCGGCCGUCCGGCGUCCCGGCCCUGACCGUAGGUGGCGAGCAGGGCCUGCGCCUC